GAUUGCCUGGGUGGUUCUUUUACACUGUUCUCUGCUGGUUGGCAGGGUGGGUGGAGAGUCAUCUGCUGAAGAUGGAGGGACCAUGUAAUGUGGAAAUAACAGUAGCAAACAGAUACUGUACCACACAGAUAGAAGUGCUGGUGGCGGCAAAGGACACCUUAUUUUAUCACCAGUUCUGAAAGUGACACAGAGGAUGGACUGCAGGCAGAAGCUCCGGUUGAGGAAGAUGGAGGAAAGCCAUUUACCAGCUCGACAGCCUUCAGCUAGGGAAAAGGCUCUGUGAGCAUCGUUAAGAAGUGCUUACCAUCCAGCGGUCACGAUGCAUCCAACAAGAGUGAGCGCUAAUGGCCUGGGAACAAAGAGGCAAAUUACUGAGGUCUACUAAAAUGUUUCUCCACUUAUCUUCAAUUAUUCAGACCCAACCCAAUUUCCUUCUAAAUUAAAUGCUGCGGCUUGAGUUAACUU
rnacentral:lncRNA from 1 species